GAAACCACUUAUGUGAUGAACCAUAUGAAAAGAAUAGGUUUAAAUCAAAUAACUGUGAGAUAAACUUAUCGAAUAUUGACUCUUAUCAAUUGGUAUUUUCUAUAGGUGGCAUGAUGGGACAUUCCCAUCAGAGUUCCAUCGUGCUUGAAGUGGGCUCCUCGCAGAGCCAUGUUUGCUGUAUGAUAUUCAAGCUAUGUAAAAUCUACUUAACUAAUGGAAAGGACCUAGUGUUUGGCUGCGAUAAAGUUUUGGUUGGUAAGGACCUAAUGCGACUCAUGUGAUUCAGUUGCAGAAUGCUUUUAGUGUUUGAAUUUCAUCUUUCAAGCAUUAUCUAAAUUGCUUGAGUGCUUCAAUGUUUGAAUUUGAUCUUUCAAAUUGUAUGUGAACUGAAGUCCAUUAGGGAAAUUUUUAUUAAAAUGUAAUGGAUGCCUUUUGGGUAAUAAUGCAUAUCAAGACCUUUGAAUUUGUUGAUUCGGAUGUUUGAACACAGUUAAAACUCACCAUGUUGUUUUUGUAGUUUGA